CGGAGGGGCUAGCGUUGUUCGGAAUUACUGGGCGUAAAGCGCACGUAGGCGGAUCGGAAAGUCAGAGGUGAAAUCCCAGGGGCUCAACCUUGGAACUGCCUUUGAAACUCCUGGUCUUGAGUUCGAGAGAGGUGAGUGGAAUUCCGAGUGUAGAGGUGAAAUUCGUAGAUAUUCGGAGGAACACCAGUGGCGAAGGCGGCUCACUGGCUCGAUACUGACGCUGAGGUGCGAAAAGCGUGGGGGAGCAAACAGGAUU
rnacentral:rRNA from 1 species